rnacentral:lncRNA from 1 species
AACCCUUAGCCAUACACUCCCUACCCUAGCUCGGCAUGACUGUGUAAUGUAAAACUUGUGCAAAAAGAUAAGUUUGGGGUAUGCAUCCAUAAAUUGAAAAUGUUGUUGAAAAAUGGCAAGUGCAAGGAAAAGAAAGAAGAAAAAAAAGUGUGUAGAAACAUCCGCUUCUACCGAAAAAAAAGAGAAAAAGAAAUGAAAAAAAUAAGCACUUGCCUUAGAAAUAGACUCGUGCAUUAAAAUGAAGUUGAGUGGAAAAAGAGUAAAGAUUUGACGACA